CUGGGGAAAAUGAGGCUGAUUACAUUGGCCGAAUAACUGAGUUCUUUGAGGGUACCGACUGGUGCCACUACUUUAUAUGUCGUUGGAUCUUUCGUCCAGAGGACAAGGUGAUAUCCAGAACCAAGCUUGUCCAAAUGUACGUGCGUUCUCCGUGAGGAAAGAAUGAUAAUGUGCUCUACUGCAUCCGAAUAACUCACAAAUCGCACAACGAUCGACAACUCUCUCCUUAAACACUGCAACUGGUCAAGAUGAGGGCUACACAGGUGUUGUUCCUGGCCCUCGCCUUACUCAUGCUAGCAUCAGAUGUGGUAACAGAGGCGUCAAUGGAUGAUAGCGUUAAAAUCUUGAGGUGUGCGGCAACCAAUAUACCAUCACCACAGCCAUGUGACAACUUCACUUGCGAACUGGCAUGCUUCAACCUUAUAAAGUUACCCAAACAAGGCAAGUGCACUGAUUUCCAAUGUAAGUGCAUGAUAUGCGAAGACACCCCUCCAUUAUAAUGACAAAUGGGUGGAAACUAGCUAAGGUAGGAUGACAUGUUCAAUGGAAUGAUGCGAGGAAAUCGAAAAUGGUGUAGCUGUAAGGUUGUUCACUAAUAAACGACAUAUUAUGAAGAAUGAUGGAUUUGAUCUAGCUUCUUGA
rnacentral:rRNA from 1 species